rnacentral:rRNA from 1 species
CCUACGGGGGGCUGCAGUAGGGAAUAUUGCACAAUGGGGGAAACCCUGAAGCAGCAACGCCGCGUGGAGGAUGAAGGUUUUCGGAUUGUAAACUCCUUUUGUUAGAGAAGAUAAUGACGGUAUCUAACGAAUAAGCACCGGCUAACUCCGUGCCAGCAGCCGCGGUAAUACGGGGGGUGCAAGCGUUACUCGGAAUCACUGGGGGCAAAGAGCGCGUAGGCGGGAUAGCAAGUCAGCUGUGAAAUCCUAGGGCUUAACCAUAGAACGUCAUUGGAAAUUGUUAUACUAGGGUAUGGGGGAGGAAGGGGAAUUCUUGGUGGAAGGGUAAAAUCCGUAGAGAUCAAGAGGAAUACUCAUUGCGAAGGCGACCUGCUAGAACAUAACUGACGCUGAUGCGCGAAAGCGUGGGGAGCAAACAGGAUUAGAUACCCCUGUAGUC